rnacentral:rRNA from 1 species
UACGGGGGGAGCAAGCGUUGUUCGGAUUUACUGGGCGUAAAGGGCGCGUAGGCGGUAGCACAAGUCAGUUGUGAAAUCUCCGGGCUUAACUCGGAAAGGUCAACUGAUACUGUGCGACUAGAGUGCAGAAGGGGAAACUGGAAUUCUCGGUGUAGCGGUGAAAUGCGUAGAUAUCGAGAGGAACACCUGCGGCGAAGGCGGGUUGCUGGGCUGACACUGACGCUGAGGCGCGAAAGCCAGGGGAGCGAACAGG